AGGAGAGGGACAACCAGACUCUGCUGAGCAUGGAGUCCACCGUGAGGCUCAAUCCCACAACACUGAGAUCCUGACCUGAGCUGAAAUCAUGAGUCAGAUGGUUAACUGACUGAGCUACCCAGGCACCCUUAAUUGGUAGAUGUCUCUUAAAUACUAGGGGUGGGGAGAAGCACACAUCUUCAGAAUUCUCAUGACUGCCACUUUUACAUCCUCACUCAGUGGACACAAGAAGAAAGAUAAAUGGGAAAAAAGAAGUCAGUCGACAAAAAGCUGCAGUACCAACGACGAGCAACCAGAAACAGUAAGGAAGCAAGUGUCUUCCUACAUCACCGGACCAGAUGGUAUCCCAUCCUUCCUCUACUGAUCUGUAGAGCCAAGCCAAUAAAGAAAUGGAGGAGAAAGACUCACACCCAUGCCAACAAAGAAGCCCAUUCUCAGACCAGGGAUCCAACCUUAUUAACCCUACUAGGAAUGAACAAAAGCACAACUGGAAGGCAACCAGUUUUAUGCCUUUAAUUUUUCUCCACCGUCUUGCUUUCCAUUUCAGAAAUUCAAGGUAUUGGAUGACCUACUGGAGGCAGAAGACAGUUCCAUUUAAGUUGACAAAAUCACAUGAGAGUGAGUGGCGG
rnacentral:lncRNA from 1 species